rnacentral:rRNA from 1 species
UACGUAGGGGCCUAGCGUUGUCCGGAAUUAUUGGGCGUAAAGAGCUCGUAGGCGGUUCGGCAAGUCGGAUGUGAAAUCUCCACGCUUAACGUGGAGGGGCCAUUCGAAACUGCUGUGACUCGAGUCCGGUAGGGGAGUGUGGAAUUCCCGGUGUAGCGGUGAAAUGCGCAGAUAUCAGGAGGAACACCGGUGGCGAAGGCGGGUCUCUGGGCAACAACUGACGCUGAGGAGCGAAAGCGUGGGGAGCGAACAGG